rnacentral:rRNA from 1 species
CAGCAUUUCAGUUUGCUUGCAAACUGGAGAUGGCGACCGGCGCACGGGUGAGUAACACGUAUCCAACCUGCCGAUAACUCGGGGAUAGCCUUUCGAAAGAAAGAUUAAUACCUGAUGGUAUCUUAAGCACACAUGUAAUUAAGAUUAAAGAUUUAUCGGUGUACGAUGGGGAUGCGUUCCAUUAGGUUGUUGGCGGGGUAACGGCCCACCAAGCCAUCGAUGGAUAGGGGUUCUGAGAGGAAGGUCCCCACAUUGGAACUGAGACACGGUCCAAACUCC